UACAGAGGUGCCAAGCGUUAGGCGGAAUCACUGGGCUUAAAGCGUGUGUAGGCGGAUCGUUAAGUGUCUUGUGAAAUCCCACGGCUCACCCGUGGAACUGCUGGGCAUACUGGCGAUCUUGGGCCAACUAGGGGCAGCCGGAACAAGCGGUGGAGCGGUGAAAUGCAUAGAUAUCGCUUGGAACGCCAAAGGUGAAAACAGGCUGCUGGGGUUGUGCCGACGCUGAGACACGAAAGCCAGGGGAGCAAACGGG
rnacentral:rRNA from 1 species